UCCUUGUUAGUAUAGUGGACAGUCUCUCUGUCUGUCAUGUAGAAGACUGGAGUUCGAUUCCCUGAAAGGGAG